AGCCUUAGUGCGGACCAGGCCCAAGUCCCCUGGAACGGGGGUGCCAGAGAGUGAGAGCCCCGUCGUGCCCGGACCAUAUCGCAUCACGAGGCGCUGUCGGCGAGUCGGGUUGUUUGGGAAUGCAGCCCCAAUCAGGCGGUAAAUUCCGUCCAAGGCUAAAUACUGGCGAGAGACCGAUAGCGAACAAGUACUGCAAGGGAAAGAUGAAAAUGAUUUUGAAAAUAGAGUCAAAGAGUGCUUGAAAUUGUCAGGAGGGAAGCGGAUGGGGGUUAGCGGUAUGUCCCGGUCGGAUGUGGAACAAUGUUAGCCGGUCUACCGAUCGACUCGGGGCAUUGACCGAUGCGGAUUGUGAUGGUGGCCCAAGCCCGGGUUGUCAAAAUGCUCGUGCAGAUGUCAUCGUCACGAUUGUGGAUGACAGCAUGCGCCUUCAUGGCGUGCUUCGGCACUUACAUGCUCCGGGCAUCGACUUGUGGGCUCCCCAUUCGGCCCGUCUUGAAACAUGGACCAAGGAGUCUGACAUGUGUACGAGUCAAUGGGUGAGUAAACCUGUAAGGUGCAAGGAAGCUGAUUGGCGGGAUCCCCUUGUGGGUUGCAUCAUCGAUCGACCCUGAUCUUUUGUGAAGGGUUCGAGUGAGAGCAUACCUGUCGGGACCCGAAAGAUGGUGAACUAUGCCUGAGCGGGGCGAAGCCAGAGGAAACUCUGGUGGAGGUCCGCAGCAAUACUGAUGUGCAAAUCGUUCAUCUGACUUGGGUAUAGGGGCGAAAGACUAAUCAAACCGUGUAGUAGCUGGUUCCCUCCGAAGUUUCCCUCAGGAUAGCUGGAGCCUACGAGCGAGUUCUAUCGGGUAAAGCCAAUGAUUAGAGGCAUCGGGGGCGCAACGCCCUCGACCUAUUCUCAAACUUUAAAUAGGUAGGACGGUGUGGCUGCUUUGUUGAGCCACUCCACAGAAUCGAGAGCUCCAAGUGGGCCAUUUUUGGUAAGCAGAACUGGCGAUGCGGGAUGAACCAGAAGCUGGGAUAUGGUGCCCAACUGCGCGCUAACCUAGAACCCACAAAGGGUGUUGGUCGAUUAAGACAGCAGGACGUUGGUCAUGGAAGUCGAAAUCCACUAAGGAGUGUGUAACAACUAACCUGCCGAAUCAACUAGCCCCGAAAAUGGAUGGCGCUAUAGCGCGCGACCUAUACCCAGCCGUCGAGGCAAGAGUCGAUGAGUAGGAGGGCGCGACGGUCAUUGUAAAACCCAGGGCAUGAGCCCGGGCAGAGCGUUUGUUGGUGCAAAUCUUGGUGGUAGUAGCAAAUAAUCAAAUGAGAACUUUGAAGGUCGAAGAGGAGAAAGGUUCCAUGUGAACGGCACUUGCACAUGGGUUAGUCGAUCCUGAGGGACUGGGGAAGCCCGUAUGAUAGCGCUUUCAGCGCGUACUCCGAAAGAGAAUCGGGUUAAAAUUCCUGAACCGGGACGUGGCGGCUGACGACAACGUUGGGGAGUCUGGAGACGUCGGCAGGGCCCCCGAAAAGAGUGAUCUUUUCUGUUUAACAGCCUGCCCACCCUAGAAACGGCUCAGUCGGAGGUAAGGACCAGCGGCUGGAAGAGCACCGCAAGUUGCAAGGUGUCCGGUGCGCCCCCGGCGACCCUUGAAAAUUUAGAGGAUCGAGUGCCUCCCAUGCCUGGUCGUACUCAUAACCGUAUCAGGUCUCCAAGGUGAACAGCCUCUAGUCGAUGGAACAAUGUAGGCAAGGGAAGUCGAAAAAAUGGAUCCGUAACCUCAGGAAAAGGAUUGGCUCUGAGGGCUGGGCACGGGGGUCCCAGUCUCGAACCCGUCAGCUGUCGGUGGACUGCUUGAGAUGCUCCCGCAGCGAGAGUGGGUUGUCGCGUGCCAGUCGGGGAAUGGAUUGGGAACAGGCCUUUCGGGGCCUCUUCCCCGGGCGUCGAACAGUCGACUCAGAACUGGUACGGACAAGGGGAAUCCGACUAUUUAAUUAAUACAAAGCAUUUCGAUGGUCCCUGCAGAUGUUGACGCAAUGUGAUUUCUGCCCAGUGCUCUGAAUGUCAAAGUGAAGAAAUUCAACCAAGCGUGGGUAAACGGCGGGAGUAACUAUGACUCUCUUAAGGUAGCCAAAUGCCUCGUCAUCUAAUUAGUGACGCGCAUGAAUGGAUUAACGAGAUUCCCACUGU
rnacentral:rRNA from 1 species